rnacentral:misc_RNA from 1 species
UCGGCCGUCCCCGUGAAAUCGACCUGCGGUCGUGUGCGCGCGCGUCGUGGACGCGGCCGCAUCCGUCGGGCGUCGCGCGACGGGGCCUUUUCUGCCGUUGGCCGCGUCGCGCUCGACUCCCUUCGUCCUCGGUUGUUUGUCGUACCGACGGACCGUAACAAAAGCCACGGCGCAGUAUGGGCGCCAGGGAAGAACCUGUGGAAAGCGGUCGGGAGUGUACGGGCGCCCGAAACCUCGCACGGCGGAGGGGCCGGCCCCGUAUAUUCCCCCGGUCGAUGAAAUCGUGUAGUCGUAC